rnacentral:rRNA from 1 species
GAUGAACGCUGGCGGCGUGCCUAACACAUGCAAGUCGAACGGACGAGAAGAGCUUGCUCUUCGAGUUAGUGGCGGACGGGUGAGUAACGCGUGAGCAAUCUGCCUUUCAGAGGGGGAUAACAUUGGGAAACCGGUGCUAAUACCGCAUGAUGUGCGAGGGUCGCAUGACUCUUGUACCAAAGGAGCAAUCCGCUGAAAGAUGAGCUCGCGUCUGAUUAGCUAGUUGGUGAGGUAACGGCCCACCAAGGCGACGAUCAGUAGCCGGACUGAGAGGUUGAACGGCCACAUUGGGACUGAGAUACGGCCCAGACUCCUACGGGAGGCAGCAGUGGGGGAUAUUGCACAAUGGGCGAAAGCCUGAUGCAGCGACGCCGCGUGAGGGAAGACGGUUUUCGGAUUGUAAACCUCUGUCUUCGGGGACGAAAAUGACGGUACCCGAGGAGGAAGCCACGGCUAACUACGUG